AUACGGAGGGUCCAAGCGUUAUCCAGAAUCAUUGGGUUUAAAGGGUCCGCAGGCGGUCAAUUAAGUCAGAGGUGAAAGCCCAUCGCUCAACGAUGGAACUGCCUUUGAUACUGGUUGACUUGAGUUAUACGGAAGUAGAUAGAAUAAGUAGUGUAGCGGUGAAAUGCAUAGAUAUUACUUAGAAUACCGAUUGCGAAGGCAGUCUACUACGUAUAUACUGACGCUGAGGGACGAAAGCGUGGGGAGCGAACAGGAUUAGAAACCCUAGUAGUCC
rnacentral:rRNA from 1 species